GGGUUUAGAACGUCGUGAGACAGUUCGGUCCCUAUCUGCCAUGGGCGUAGGAGAAUUGAGGGGGUUUGCUUCUAGUACGAGAGGACCGAAGUGAACGCACCGCUGGUGUUCGGGUUGUGAUGCCAAUUGCAUUGCCCGGUAGCUACGUGCGGAAUAGAUAAGUGCUGAAAGCAUAUAAGCACGAAACUAGCCCUGAGAUGAUUUCUCCCAGACUAUAAGUCUGUAAGGUUCGUUCGAGACUAGGACGUUGAUAGGUCAGGUGUGUAAGUGUAGUGAUACAUUGAGCUAACUGAUACUAAUGAGCCGAGCGUCUUAACCUUACAACUC
rnacentral:rRNA from 1 species